rnacentral:rRNA from 1 species
AACGCGAAGAACCUUACCUACUCUUGACAUCCUAGGAAUCUGGCAGAGACGCUGGAGUGCCGCAAGGAACCUAGAGACAGGUGCUGCAUGGCUGUCGUCAGCUCGUGUCGUGAGAUGUUGGGUUGAGUCCCGUAACGAGCGCAACCCUUAUCCUUAGUUGCCAUCAGGUAAAGCUGGGAACUCUAAGGAGACUGCCGGUGAUAAGCCGGAGGAAGGUGGGGACGAGGUCAAGUCAUCAUGGCCCUUACGAGUAGGGCUACACACGUGUUACAAUGGACGGUACAGAGGGAAGCGAAGCCGCGAGGUGAAGCGAAUCUCAUUAAAGCCGUUCGUAGUCCGGAUUGGAGUCUGCAACUCGACUCCAUGAAGUUGGAAUCGCUAGUAAUCGCGGAUCAGAACGCCGCGGUGAAUACGUUCCCGGGCCUUGUACACACCGAGUAUA